AGAGGAAGUAAAAGUCGUAACAAGGUCUCCGUUGGUGAACCAGCGGAGGGAUCAUUACAGAGUUGCAAAACUCCAACAAACCAUCGCGAAUCUUACCCGUACGGUUGCCUCGGCGCUGGCGGUCCGGAAGGCCCUCGGGCCCCCGGAUCCUCGGGUCUCCCGCUCGCGGGAGGCUGCCCGCCGGAGUGCCGAAACCAAACUCUUGAUAUUUUAUGUCUCUCUGAGUAAACUUUUAAAUAAGUCAAAACUUUCAACAACGGAUCUCUUGGUUCUGGCAUCGAUGAAGAACGCAGCGAAAUGCGAUAAGUAAUGUGAAUUGCAGAAUUCAGUGAAUCAUCGAAUCUUUGAACGCACAUUGCGCUCGCCAGUAUUCUGGCGAGCAUGCCUGUUCGAGCGUCAUUUCAACCAUCAAGCUCUGCUUGCGUUGGGGAUCCGCGUCUGACGCGGUCCCUCAAAAACAGUGGCGGGCUCGCUAGUCACACCGAGCGUAGUAACUCUACAUCGCUAUGGUCGUGCGGCGGGUUCUUGCCGUAAAACCCCCAAUUUCUAAGGUUGACCUCGGAUCAGGUAGGAAUACCCGCUGA
rnacentral:rRNA from 1 species